AUUGAACGCUGGCGGCAGGCCUAACACAUGCAAGUCGAGCGAGCGGCGGACGGGUGAGUAAUGUCUGGGAAACUGCCUGAUGGAGGGGGAUAACUACUGGAAACGGUAGCUCAUACCGCAUACCAUCAGAUGUGCCUAGAUUGGGGUAGCUGGUAGGUGGGGUAACGGCCCACCUAGGCGACGAUCCCUAGCUGGUCUGAGAGGAUGACCAGCCACACUGGAACUGAGACACGGGCCAGACUCCUACGGGAGGCAGCAGUGGGGAAUAUUGCACAAUGGGCGCAAGCCUGAUCCAUCCAUGCCGCGUGUGUGAAGAAGGCCUUCGGGUUGUAAAGGACUUUUAUCAGGGAAGCGGGACCUGAAGAAUAAGCACCGGCUAACUACGUGCCAGCAGCCGCGGUAAUAC
rnacentral:rRNA from 1 species